CCUAAUACCGACUAGCUGGGGAGAAGUUCAGUUUUAAAGUUGAGACUCUAAUACUGACCAACUGGGGAAAAGUUCAGUUUAGGGUCGGGGCCCUAAUGCUGACUAAAGGAAAAGUUCAGUUUAGGGUUUAAAACCCUAAUGCUGAUUGAAUGGAAAAGUUCAGUUUAGGGUUUAAAACCCUAAUGCUGACUAAAGGAAAGGUUCAGUUUAGGGUUUAAAACCCUAAUGCUGCCUGAAUGGAAAAGUUCAGUUUAGGGUUUAAAACCUUAAUGCUGACUGAAAGGGAAAAGUUCAGUUUAGGGUUUAAAACCCUAAUGCUGACUAAAGGAAAAGUUCAGUUUAGGG
rnacentral:lncRNA from 1 species